rnacentral:rRNA from 1 species
AACGAACGCUGGCGGCAUGCCUAACACAUGCAAGUCGAACGAGACCUUCGUGUCUAGUUGCGCACGGGUGCGUAACGCGUGGGAACCUGCCCUUAGGUUCGGAAUAACUCCCCGAAAGGGGUGCUAAUACCGGAUAAUGUCUUCGGACCCAAGAUUUAGCGCCUUUGGAUGGGCCCGCGUUGGAUUAGCUUGUUGGUAGGGUAAAAGCCUACCAAGGCGACGAUCCAUAGCUGGUCUGAGAGGAUGAUCAGCCACACUGGGACUGAGACACGGCCCAGACUCCUACGGGAGGCAGCAGUGGGGAAUAUUGGACAAUGGGCGAAAGCAUGAUCCAGCAAGGCCGCGUGAGUGAUGAAGGCCUGAGGGAUGUAAAGCUCUUUUACCCGGGAUGAUAAUGACAGUACCGGGAGAAUAAGCUCCGGCUAACUCCGUG